GGUCUUAAUAAUUUUUUGAAUUGCAAAUUUGAAAAUGCUUUGAAAAGCUAAGGCUU
rnacentral:tRNA from 1 species